rnacentral:rRNA from 1 species
AUUGAACGCUGGCGGCAGGCCUAACACAUGCAAGUCGAGCGGCAGCGGGAAAGUAGCUUGCUACUUUUGCCGGCGAGCGGCGGACGGGUGAGUAAUGCCUGGGGAUCUGCCCAGUCGAGGGGGAUAACUACUGGAACGGUAGCUAAUACCGCAUACGCCUCCGGGGAAGGACGAGGGACCGUUCGGUCCGUUCGUCGCGAUGGAGUGACCACGUGGGAGUAGUCUAGUUGGUUGAGGUAACGGACGUCCCAACGCGACGAUCCUACGCUGGUCGUGAGAGGAGUGAUC